rnacentral:rRNA from 1 species
GUAGGUGGCAAGCGUUGUCCGGAAUUAUUGGGCGUAAAGCGCGCGCAGGUGGUUCUUUAAGUCUGAUGUGAAAGCCCCCCGGCUCAACCGGGGAGGGUCAUUGGAAGCUGGGGAACUUGAGUGCAGGAGAGGAAAGUGGAAUUCCACGUGUAGCGGUGAAAUGCGUAGAUAUGUGGAGGAACACCAGUGGCGAAGGCGACUUUCUGGCCUGUAACUGACACUGAGGCGCGAAAGCGUGGGGAGCAAACAGGGAUUAGAUACCCUGGUAGUCCACGCCGUAAACGAUGAGUGCUAAGUGUUGGGGGGGUUUCCCGCCCCUCAGUGCUGCAGCUAACGCAUUAAGCACUCCGCCUGGGGAGUACGGUCGCAAGACUG